AAGACUAGAGAUGCUCUGACUAGCCAAGGAGAUUGCCUAGAGCCGACCGUUUUGACCGUAUGAUGAGUAGACAAAUCUGAGUUCAGAGUAGGCAAGUCAUCCUUGGCUUUCAAAACAAGGCUCUCAUCC
rfam:Eucalyptus grandis cultivar BRASTZ1 unplaced genomic scaffold scaffold_9, whole genome shotgun sequence.